GGGAAGGUGAUUUAAAUCCUUAUGAGAGAGACGCAGCUCCCCACCUCGCCAGACCUUCACAAACCCAAAUUGGAGCCACCGGAAAAAUGACUGACAACCGGCCACACGCCCCAGGCAGAGACGCCGAGAGAGGCUGACCAGAAGAAAGGCCGAUGUACAAGAUACCGCCCUCUGGAGCACAGGGCACAUGUGUCCCAACAGACACACACACGCACACACAGACGGACACAGAGCAAAAGAGCGAGAGAGGAGAGAGAGAGAAAUAAGAGAGAGACCUACGCACACACACAAACGCACAAAGACAUAGGGCAGUGGCACGGUAACACCUACCCCCAGGCAACCC
rnacentral:lncRNA from 10 species